GACGAACCGUGCGAGCGUUAUUCGGAAUCACUGGGCUUAAAGCGCGUGUAGGCGGAUGGGAACGUCGGUCGCUGAAAUCCCCCGGCUCAACCGGGGAACGGGCACCGAAACGACCCGUCUGGAGGGACGUAGGGGGACCUGGAACUUCCGGUGGAGCGGUGAAAUGCGUUGAGAUCGGAAGGAACGCCCGUGGCGAAAGCGAGGUCCUGGACGUCUACUGACGCUGAGACGCGAAAGCUAGGGUAGCGAACGGG
rnacentral:rRNA from 1 species